UACGGAGGUGGCAAGCGUUGCUCGGAAUCACUGGGCGUAAAGGGCGCGUAGGCGGGGAGGUAAGUCGGGUGUGAAAUCCCUUGGCUCAACCGAGGAACUGCGCCCGAGGCUGCUUCUCUUGAGUCCCGGAGAGGAAGGUGGAAUUCCCGGUGUAGCGGUGAAAUGUGUAGAGAUCGGGAGGAACACCGGUGGCGAAGGUGGCCUUCUGGACGGUGACUGACGCUGAGGCGCGAAAGCGUGGGGAGCAAACGGG
rnacentral:rRNA from 1 species